GAUGAACGCUGGCGGCGUGCCUAAUACAUGCAAGUCGAGCGAACGGACGAGAAGCUUGCUUUUCUGAUGUUAGCGGCGGACGGGUGAGUAACACGUGGGUAACCUACCUAUAAGACUGGGAUAACUUCGGGAAACCGGAGCUAAUACCGGAUAAUAUUUUGAACCGCAUGGUUCAAAAGUGAAAGACGGUCUUGCUGUCACUUAUAGAUGGAUCCGCGCUGCAUUAGCUAGUUGGUAAGGUAACGGCUUACCAAGGCAACGAUGCAUAGCCGACCUGAGAGGGUGAUCGGCCACACUGGAACUGAGACACGGUCCAGACUCCUACGGGAGGCAGCAGUAGGGAAUCUUCCGCAAUGGGCGAAAGCCUGACGGAGCAACGCCGCGUGAGUGAUGAAGGUCUUCGGAUCGUAAAACUCUGUUAUUAGGGAAGAACAUAUGUGUAAGUAACUGUGCACAUCUUGACGGUACCUAAUCAGAAAGCCACGGCUAACUACGUGCCAGCAGCCGCGGUAAUACGUAGGUGGCAAGCGUUAUCCGGAAUUAUUGGGCGUAAAGCGCGCGUAGGCGGUUUUUUAAGUCUGAUGUGAAAGCCCACGGCUCAACCGUGGAGGGUCAUUGGAAACUGGAAAACUUGAGUGCAGAAGAGGAAAGUGGAAUUCCAUGUGUAGCGGUGAAAUGCGCAGAGAUGUGGAGGAACACCAGUGGCGAAGGCGACUUUCUGGUCUGUAACUGACGCUGAUGUGCGAAAGCGUGGGGAUCAAACAGGAUUAGAUACCCUGGUAGUCCACGCCGUAAACGAUGAGUGCUAAGUGUUAGGGGGUUUCCGCCCCUUAGUGCUGCAGCUAACGCAUUAAGCACUCCGCCUGGGGAGUACGACCGCAAGGUUGAAACUCAAAGGAAUUGACGGGGGCCCGCACAAGCGGUGGAGCAUGUGGUUUAAUUCGAAGCAACGCGAAGAACCUUACCAAAUCUUGACAUCCUUUGACAACUCUAGAGAUAGAGCCUUCCCCUUCGGGGGACAAAGUGACAGGUGGUGCAUGGUUGUCGUCAGCUCGUGUCGUGAGAUGUUGGGUUAAGUCCCGCAACGAGCGCAACCCUUAAGCUUAGUUGCCAUCAUUAAGUUGGGCACUCUAAGUUGACUGCCGGUGACAAACCGGAGGAAGGUGGGGAUGACGUCAAAUCAUCAUGCCCCUUAUGAUUUGGGCUACACACGUGCUACAAUGGACAAUACAAAGGGCAGCGAAACCGCGAGGUCAAGCAAAUCCCAUAAAGUUGUUCUCAGUUCGGAUUGUAGUCUGCAACUCGACUACAUGAAGCUGGAAUCGCUAGUAAUCGUAGAUCAGCAUGCUACGGUGAAUACGUUCCCGGGUCU
rnacentral:rRNA from 1 species